ensembl:lncRNA
UUAAUGAGGGAUUUUGGCAGAGAACAUGCGUGAUUUUCGGGUUAAACGGGGGAUUUCUGCAAAAAAAAAUCAUGAUUCUCGGGUAAAAUUUGGUGUAGUUGAAGAGAAAAUGCAUGAUUUUGGGGUUAAAUGGGGGAUUUUGGAAGAGAAAAUGCGCGUUGUUUGAGAUAAACAGGGGAUUUUUGUAGAGCAAAUGCAUGAUUUUGGGGUUAAAUGGGGGAUUUUCCAAGGGAAAAUUUGUGAUUUUCGGGUUAAAUGGGGGACUUUCCAAGGAAAGGCAUGAUUUUCAGGUAAAAUGGGGGAUUUUGGAAGAGCAAAUGUGUGAGUUUUGGUUAAAUGGGGGGUUUUCCAGAGAAAAUGCAUGACUUUCUGUUCAGUGGAGGAUUUUUGUGGUGAAAAUGCGUGGUGUUCAGGUUAAAGCAGGGAUUUUCGAUGAGAAAAUACAUGAUUUGGGGGUUAAAUGUGUUUGUUUGUUUGUUUGUUUUAAGAGAAAACUUGUGAUUUUUGAUGAAUUAUGUAUUUUUGAAGUGAAAAUGCGUGGUUUUCAGGUUAGAUCAGGGAUUCUUGAAGAGAAAAUGCAUCAUUGUCGGGUUACAUGGGGGAUUUCCAAAGAGAAAUCGCCUUUUUUUUUUUUUUUUUUCUGGUUAAAUGGGGGAUUUUUGAAGAGAAAAUGAGUGAUUUUCAGUUACAUGGG